UCAGUGGUUUAAUUUAAUAUCAAAGAAUGUAUACAUUGUACAACCUAAAAUUCUUAAUCUUCACAGACAUCCACAAAACAGGAAAAAAAAUCCCCAAAGAAUGAAUGACAAAGAAACGUUAGAACCCCAAAGCCUUCUCUCCCCACCCCCCAUGCGCAAGCAACAGCAAAGCAUCAACCCUCCCCCACUUAUUUCAGCAGGAAGCACCAGCCCACAACACCCACCAUUCAAGCAAUAGCCAAGCUCCCAAAGUGACCAUGAUCUGCAGUCCAACAAAAAUAAAGUGUUCACACCGACAAAUUCGACAUACCAUUGGGACUCUCUCACCCUUUCAACAGCAUGAGGGGAGAUCCACAAAACAGAACAACUUGCUGAUUAUGAUGUUACAGUCUGCCGUGUUGCUUUUAUUCCAAGUUCUUUGACUCGAGAAUUGGCAGCAAAUUUGCCCCCACCGUCGAAAGAAAAAGAGAGGGAGAUUGAGAUCAUUCGCCUGAGUACAGAGGCCUCCAACAGCCGAUCUGCUAUUCACGAUGUUCCGUCUUUCCCGCGAUACCUCAGUCAGUGACACCAACAUGGAAUCAACACAUCCAUGGGGCAGCAAGGCCACUUGUUUUCCAGGCUGCAUCUUGGCAAUACGGAGAAACGACUGGUCAGUGAGCUCCAGGAACAGGAAGCACCACCAUAUAGAACUGUAGUUUGAGUGCAACUGUAGAUCACGGACUCUGACAAAACUCCAUCCACCUUGAAAGGGAAGAAACUAAGCUGUUUCACAGAUGACAUCUGGUGACAUCUUAGCUCUGCUGUCUGUAAAACAGUCAAUUCCCUAGCAGGGGCCUACUGUUCUCAGAAAUCCCCCUCUGUACCCAUGGUGACCACGUGCUCCCUCUCCAAGUUAUGAUAGCUACCAAUGUAUCCCCGGAAGUGGGGUAGACAGCUGGUUCGGGCUGAGCACUGACUCCUUAUUUUGAGAGUGUACAGCAAUUCCACACCCCCAACAGUGGAAAAGACACAUCAAGUCUCUCUUGACCCUCAGUUAAUGAUCAUGCACUCUUCCAAUUCUACUACCCACCAGGGAGAACUUACAGGAGCCUACUAACCUACAAACCAACAUGUCUUUGAUAAGUGGAAGGAAACCGGAGCACCAAUGGGAAACACACGUGAUCACAGGGAGAAUGUGCAAGCUCACACAGAGAACACUGGAUGUUAGGACUGAAUGUGAAUCUCUGGACCUGUGAGGCAGCCAUUAUCCACUCUGUGUCUAUCCUGACAGUCCAUGGGCUCCUCUUGUGCCAAGCUGAGGCCACCCUCAGACUGAAGGAGCAGCACCUUAUAUUCCAUCUAGGUAGCCUCCAACCUGAUUUCUCCUUCCUGUAACCAAAUUAUACACAUCCCUUCCACUAUUCCCCACUCUAACCUUUUACUUCUCACCUGCCUCUUAUUCCACCUCGGUCCUCCUCCUUCCAUUUCUCCUAUGGCCCACUCUCCUCUCCUAUCAGAUUCCUUCCUCUCCAGCCCUUGACCAUUCUCACCCACCUGGCUUCACCUAUCACCUUCCAGAUUUCCUCCUUCCCCACCCCCAUGUUUUAAUUCUGGUGUUUUCCCCCCUUCCUUCCCAGUCCUGAAGCCCCUGGGUUUCUGUGUCUGGACAUCGGAGGUCGAUGGUGAAAGCCCCUGGGUUUCCGUGUCUGGAUGUCGGAGGCCUAAUAUUUCUGAUUCUGGACAAGGGACUGGAGGUUGGUGGCCCAGAAAUCUAUCUGUGUGUGUCAGUAGGUGUGAGGAAGGGGAGGAAAAGGGCUUGCUUUGCUGUUGAUAUUUUGUUGGUGGUGUUGUAGUUGUUCCCCCAGGUUCCCUACUCAUUCCCUUUCUCCUAAGGUCCACUCUCCUCUCCUAGCGGAUUACUUUCACUCCAGCCCUUUACUCUUCCCACCCACCUGCCUUCACCUAUCACCUUCCAGCUAUCCUCUUUCCCCAGUCCAUUACCUUUUCAUUCAGACAUCUUUCCCCAGCCUCCUCAGUCCUGAAGAAGGGUCUCGGCCUGAAACAUCGACUGUUUGUUCAUUCCCAUAGAUGCUGCCUGACCUGCUGAGUUCCUCCAGCAUUUUGUGUGUGUUGCUCAACCCUGUCAAUCCCAGUGAGAAUUCUCUGCGGUUAUCCGGUCAAUCCAGGCAUCAGUCAAAUGCUCCUUGGCAGUACUUCCUCUAUCUGAUGUAUAAUCUAUCCUUCCUUCAGUCAGGGAAACAGACCACAGAGGUGAUGGCAUCCAAACCCUGCCACAGCUGUCGAGCACCUUCUGUCAUUCAAGUUUGGUUCAGAAUUGCCUCUUUGCACACAACGUGGCUCUCUGGAGGUCAUAUCUGGACCUCGUGUAUCUUCCCUGGUCACCAGAUCUGAAUGUUACUGAUGUGGCCCUCAGCAGAUUGCAGAUCUCGUGGUUCAUCCUGGGAUUCCGGUUGGGGAAGACCCUGAAUGAUUUUGUGGGGAUACACUCAUCUACAACUGUUUUUAUGAAGUCCAUGACAACCAUGUUGUAUUCAUUCGGAUCCUCUGAUGAGUCCUGAAACAUAGCCCAGUCCACCAACUCAAGGCAAACCUGUAGCUGUUUCUCUGCCUCCUGAGACCACCUCUUUGUUGUCCUUAUCUCUGAAGCCUUGUUCUUUAGCUUCUGUCUGUAUGCAGGUAGGAGGAGGACAGCCAAGGGAUCAGAGUUCCCGAAAUGCAGUCUAGGCAUUCCUAAUAGUAAUAUAGCAGUGGUCGAGUGUUGGGACCCCUGGUGCUGCAAGUGAUACGUUGAUAAUUGGCUAGUGAGGCUGAUCGACACCACCCCUACCACUAAUUUAUCAGAGUCACUUUACAUGCAGACACUUCAGAGUCGAGCAUCUUUUAAUGGACAUAAAAUCCAUGUGUAUAAACUUACUUAUUUAUGUUUAGAGUAAUUUUCAUUAUUGUAUUAUGUUAUUGUGUUUUUUUGUGCUGCAUCAGAUCAGGAGUAUUAAUUAUUUUGUUCACCUUUACACUAGUGUACAGGAAACAACAUUAAACCAUCUUGAAUCUUCAGUAGUCCCAGCCCACUCUCUCAAAGACUGGCCUGCCACUUCAAAUCUAAGCCAUAAACUUUGUAGACUGUUUCCUUUCAGGGAGCUCGCCAACCAGUUGGAAUAUUAACAAAUCCCAUGGCUGCUUUUCCUGAUGCUAGUUUAUUCAGCUUGUCACAGUGGAACUGGAUUUCACAGUUUCUUGUAUCAGUUCAGUGGGGUUUGGCUGCAGUCAGGGGGAACUGUGAGGGGACUACACAGGACACGAAGAACUGAGGCAGCCAUUUGGCUGAAGCAACAUUUAUAACCGGAGUUUAAGGACUUUUUGAGAGCAAGUUAGUUAAAGUUGCACCAAGUGCAUUAAGUGAUAACAGAUCUUGUUCAUUCAGAAUUGCCACAUUGAUAAGUUUGACUCCACACAUCCACUGAACGGUCACAUCACCUAUGUCCCUUCUGAAGCCUGCCUGGAACCAUUGGAACAUAUGAGACAUAUAGUGUGUCAGGGGUGAAUGAAUUCCUUGAUCCAGAUUCCAGCAUCCCAAAGUCACAUAUAGUGACAUAUUCAGUACUGCACUGAAGUCUUAGGGCACCCUAGAUUUUUAAAUGGUUUCAGAUGGUAUGACUUCACAGAGCCCUGAUCGCAACAUCAUUGAGGCUGUCUGGGAUUACCUGGAAAGAUAAGCAAGCGAGACAGCCAAAGUCUGCAGAAGAACUGUGGUGAGUUCUCCAAGAUGUUUGGAACAAACUACCAGCCGAUUUUCUCAUAAAACUGCACACCUCAGAAACUGAUUGGAAAGCUGAGCCUACUGGGCCUGAACACCCCCCUCUGCAACUGGAUCCUAGACUUCCUGACUGGGAGAUCUCAGUCAGUCCGGAUCGGGAGCAGCAUCUCACUGAGCACGGGGGCUCCCCAGGGUUGCGUGCUCAGUCCACUGCUGUUCACUCUGCUGACCCACGACUGUGCUGCAACACACAGCUCGAACCAUACCAUCAAAUUCGCCGAUGACACCACUGUGGUGGGUCUCAUCAGCAAGAAUGACGAGUCAGCUUACAGAGAAGAGGUGCAGCUACUAACGGACUGGUGCAGAGCCAACAACCUGUCUCUGAAUGUGAACAAAACAAAAGAGAUGGUUGUUGACUUCAGGAGGGCAGAGCGACCACUCCCCACUGAACAUCGACAGCUCCUCAGUAGAGAUUGUAAAGAGCACCAAAUUUCUUGGUGUUCACCUGACGGAGAAUCUCACCUGGUCCCUCAACACCAGCUCCAUAACGAAGAAAGCCCAGCAGCAUCUCUACUUUCUGUGAAGGUUGAGGAAAGUCCAUCUCCCACCCCCCAUCUUCAUCACAUUCUACAGGGGUUGUAUUGAGAGCAUCCUGAGCAGCUGCAUCACUGCCUGGUUUGGAAAUUGCACCAUUUCAGAUUGCAAGACCCUGCAGCGGAUAGUGAGGUCAGCUGAGAUCAUUGGGGUCUCUCUUCCCGCCAUCACAGACAUUUACACUACACACUGCAUCCGCAAAGGAAACAGCGUUAUGAAGGACCCCAUGCACCCCUCAUACAAUCUCUUCUCCCUCCUGCCGUCUGGGAAAAGGCCGAAGUAUUCGGGCUCUCACGGCCAGACUAUGUAACAGUUUCUUCCCCCAAGCUAUCAGACUCCUCAAUACCCGAAGCCUGGACUGACACCUUGCCCUACUGUCCUGUUUAUUAUUUAUUGUAAUGCCUGCACUGUUUUUGUGCACUUUAUGUAGUCCAGUGUAGGUCUGUAGUCUAGUGUAGCUUUCUCUGUGUUGUUUUUUACAUAGUUCAGUCUAGUUUUUGUACUGUGUCAUGUAACACCAUGGUCCUGAAAAACGUCGUCUUAUUUUUACUAUGUAUUGUACCAGCAGUUAUGGUCGAAAUGACAAUAAAAGUGACUUGACUUGACAACAGUGUACCUAAGAGAAUUGAUGCUGUCUUAAAGGCAAAGGGUGGUCACACCAAAUAUUGGUUUGAGUUAGUUUUCUUUUGCUGUUUACUGCUCUUUAUAGCAAUUUUUUGAUAUUUAGAAUGCUGUCAUUAUUUUUGAAAGCAUCUUUGCUUUACAGGAUUUUGUUUUACAUAUGCACAGUACUCUAUCAGUCUUAAUAAUAAAUGUACUUUGAACUUUGAUGCAACCUCCUCAAGCCUCUGGGAUAGGUGAAGAAACCCCUUAUCCUGGUCUUCAUGACUCAGUUGUUAUUUUGUUACCAUGGCCUAGUUCCAAGACUGCUCAGUCAGAAGAAACAUUCUCAGUGCAUCUAUCUGGCAGAAUCUUUAAACUGUAUAUUGUGCCUCACUGAGGUCAGACAGCUCUUGUCAGAACUCUCGUGACUGACAAAGAUUGUCAUAAUCAACUCCCUAGCCCAGGAGUCCAGAUAUUAACUCUGGAAUAAUUUCUUGACGCAACUCCCUGCUCCCUAUCUCAAUGGAGGUCCAAAGGUUGCAUGCAGAGUUGACCCAAUGUCUCAAUAAGUUUUUAGCAACUUUCGAUUUAAUAAUUUUUAAUUGGGAUGUUAUACUGAAGUUGUGUAAGACAUUGGUGAGACUUAAUUUGGAGUAUUGUGUACAGUUUUGGUCAUCUAUCUAUAGGAAGAUAUAAAUAAGGUUGAAAGGGUAGAGAGAAAACUUAGAUGUAUGUUGCUGGGUCUGGAGGACUCGAGUUACAUGGGAAGAUUGAAUUUAGUAAGUUAUUCCUUGGAACAUAGAAGAUUGAGGGGAGUUUAUUUGAUAGUGGUAUACAAAUCAGGGGAUAGGGUAAAUGCAAACAGGCUUAUUACACUGAGGUUGCAUGGGUCAUGGGUUAAGUGUGAAAGGUGAAAAGUUUAAAGGGAACAUAAAGGGGAAUUUCUUCACUCAGAGGGUGGUGAGAGUGUGGGAUGAGCUGUCAGCACAAGCAGUGCAUGUGACCUCAAUUUCAAUAUCUAAGAAAAAUUUGGAUAGGUACAUGGAUGUUAGGGUACAGAGAGCCAUGGUCCCAGUGCAGAUCAAAGGGAGUAGGCAGUUUAAAUGUUCAGCAUGGGCCAAAGAGCCUGUUUCUGUUCUGUACUUUUCUAUGACUCUGACUCAACUUGCAAUGUCAUUGGCACAGUUUAUGUUGAGUCAUUUUAUUCUUCCAGAACUUAGGAUUUUAACGCAAUCUGUAAACAAGAUACACCCAUCAUCACAAAUAUUUCAUCAACAAAUUGAUCAACAUCCCAGGUGAGCUCACCUGACAUUAAAUGCCAAUGAAGAAAUGUCUCCACACUCCACCUAGGCUCUGAAAGUAGGAUGGAGUUGAGGAGAUAUGAGAGAGAAUGAGUCAGCUUACAGGCAGGACACAGGAGUGACUGCGGAUACAGGUCAGGCAACAUCUACGGAGGGAAGGAUUUCCCCUAGCCCAGUGUAGUCAAUUCUCUUACUGGCAGUAAAAAGUGUGAUUACUGCAAUCAAUAGCUUGUACCUUCCCUUUUGAGCUGAGCUUUUGAACCGUCCGUACAACCUGGCAUUUUUGUAGUGUGAACUGAAGUCUGGAAAGUGCAGGAUGGUCGUAGCAUGAUGUGUACCGGCCCAAUUGAGGCAGUGGGACCAGGCCUGAGAGCGGGGAAUGAGGCCAUUGUUGGAAUGGACUUGCAGGUGAUUCAAUGCGGCAGGCCCAGUCCUGAGAGCAUAUCGAAGCCGCAGGGCCCGGGUCCAAGAGCAAGGAAGUAACCUGAGGUUUGAUCAAUUUAAGUACCAGGCUGAGUUGGAAAGGUGAGUACAGGCUGAGUUGAGUUGGCAGGAUCCCGGCCCAAGAGUGACAAACGACUUGAGGUUUGUCUUGAGGACAAUUUAAGCACAGGGACAGAUUGAAAAGUAGGUGAGGGAUGGGCCGUGAGAUUUACUUGUCUCUGUGCUGAGCUGAGGCAACUAAUAGGCUCCUAGAUCAGCUGCAGUGAUGACUAGUUUUGCCGCUGCAAACUCACUUUCGUGAACUUCAGUUGUUUGCAUGAUUCGUUCCUUUAUCUGCAUAUUGGGUGUUGGACGAUCUUCUUUUAAAAUGAGUUCCACUGGGUUCUUUUGUUCAGUGGCUGCCUGUAAGGAGACGAAUCCCAAGGUUGAUCCUUAACCCAGCACAGAUGGAAAAUGUGCAAAGAGCCAGUGGGAUUCGAACCCGGAACCACUCGCAUCAAAGUCUGGCGCAGGCACCACUACACUGCCAGUUGGCACAUAUAUACUUCGAUAAUAAAUGCAUUUUGACUUUGAAAUGUCAUAUCCUAUUAAAAUACCACACUCCACACCAGCUCCUUGCAUUGUGCUUUUUUUCCCGUUUUAAUUACAAGUUUUGUUUUUUGUUGAAGUAGUAAUAAAAAAAUUACAAGUAUGUCGAGCAAAUAAAAUGGUUUAGACAGAACAAUCAUCGUUUGGCUAGAUUAAACCCAGAAAUCACAGAGUAGCGAGGUAGCAGUCUCUUCACCCUCCACCACAACACCCCUCCCCUCGCAUGGGGGAAGAGGGGAGUGAGGGAGGGUACUUUAACAAAGGCUCCUGCAGCUUGCGACCCCGGCUCUGUAUAAAUUAUACGUAUAAUGCGGGGUAAGGCAAGCAAUUAUUGCUCUGGUAAAAAACACAGCUCCCUGAAUGGCGUAUUGAGAGAGGAAGCACAGACAUCUGCUCAGGUUGCAGAUUGCCAGGCCCACACCACCCAACCUCUCCCCCUCCAACCGGACCUAUUACUCUGGCACCACAACCAAAACGUCACAGGCCACAGAAGCACAGGGAGUCUGAGGGCCAUCCAGUUGAUUAAUACUGUAACUUAUUCUUCACUUUUGUGAGGAGCCAAGGACUAUUUGAGAUACUACGCUGACAAAAGUUCCCAAACCUUUUCCCAAGCAGCUGGGACAUCUGAGGUGUUUUAUUUACACCCACCAGCUUGGGGGUGAUAUAUUUUAGUUCUAUUGAGAUAAGGCGUGGAAUAGGCCCUUCCACCUUGGCCACGCUGCCCAGCAACCACCAAUUUAAUCCUAGCCUUAUCACAGGGCAAUUUAUAAUGGCCUAUUAACCUACCAACCAGUACGACUGUGGGAGGAAACCCACACAGUCACGGCAAGAACGUACAAACUCCUUGCAGGCAGCUGCGGGAAUUGAACCUGGGUCAGCUGUACUAAAAAGCAUUGUGCUAACCACUAUGCUACCAUGCCGCCCAUUAGCAUCUUGCUAUCUACCUUCUACGUACCUGGCUCUCCCAGGCUAAUUCGUGGCUCCCACCUGCCCACUGUUCCCACAAUGGAAAUUGCACCCAAUUGAUAGUUUGUUUUUUUGUCUACACAGUGUUGCGAGUCUGGAAAGGACUUGCAACCAUUGAGCACAUCUACAUGAAAUGCUGUCGCAGGAAAACAGCAUCCAUAAUCGGAGAACCAAGUUACCCAGGCCGCUGCCAUCAGGUAGAAGGUACAAGAGCCUCAGGAUUCACACUACCAGGUUCAAGAACAGCUAAUACCCCUCAUCCAUCAGGCUCUUCAACAAUAGGGGAUAACUACACUCACUUGCCCAUCCACUGAGAUGUUCCCACAAUCAAUGAUCUCACUUUAAGGACUCUUUAUCUCAUGUUCUCACUAUUUAUUGCUAUUUAUUUAUAUUUGCAUUUGCACAGUUUCUUGUAUUCUGCACUCUGGCUGAUCUUUCAUUGAUUGUGUGAUAGUUACUAUUCUAUAGAUCUGCUGACUAUACCCACAGGAAAGUGAAUCUUAGGGUUGUAUAUGGUGACAUAUUUAUACUGUGAUAAAAAAAAUUACUUUGAACUUUGAGAGCAAGAAAUGUUCCCUGCUCUCUCUAGGCCAGGAACAAUCACAGCUUCUAGUCCAUCUCCCCUCUCCCCCACCAUCCUUCCCAGUUACCAAGGCAGCAAACAGGUUAACUAAUGCAUGGCAGGAUAUGGCAUGUGACUGCCAGGAGAGCACAAUGAUCUAAGAGAGAGGUUUAUGUGAAGAAUGACAAGACUGUCAAACCCUGUGCAAGAACAAAAGGAAGUGACUACUCAUCCUCCGCUGAUUCUUGCAAUCUAUGUAAAAACCUUUUACUGAGCUUUGAGAUGGGGCCUCAGGGCUGGACAGAUCUGUGUGAAGUAGGAACAUGUUCCUGACUGACUGACCACAGCGUGGACCCAACCAACUACCCAGACUGGACUAUAUUUUCCUACCUGGUUCUAGCUCAACAACCACUGACUAGAACAGGCAAACUUAAAAUGAGAGAGGGUUUGAACUUUUAAUCCUGGAGUAGAAAUAAAGCAGCUUUCAUACUCUCUAAAUCAUUAUUGCACCAUUUGAAAACAUUACAAAUUCCUGCAAGCUUCACUUGUGCUAAAUCAAACCAGUGAUACUCACCAAGUAGACAAUCAAAAGAAAAUCAAACAAUUUCAAGAAAGGUGUGACAACAGAAUAGAUCUGAUAGCCUGAUGUACUGUGGCUCUGUGUAUUGGAUUGGACAGCUUACAGAACCAAACUAUAUAAAACUGGGCUAUGGAAGAUGCUUAAGCCCUCUCACAUCUAGGCUGCAUGCCCGUGAACCCUUUUAAACUUGCUGUCCACUUAGUCCUCCAAGAGGACCAAAGCCUUAUCGUAGGGUUUGGAGGCUUGCGUGCCUCAAUGACCCAGAGAGCCAUGUUGGCUGGAGUCAGGGCUUUAUGCUUUGGCUCUUAGUAGGGACACCCAUGCCAAACAGGUCAAAGGGUAGAGGUCAAACUAAUAGUGGUCCACCAGUCCUCCAGGUUCAGGGGUUCCGUUCAGGGCAAACGACCCAACUGGUCAAACAAAAUUGUUAAGGAAACAGCAGUGAAGAAUCCUUUUACAUCUGAGUGCGAUGGUAUUCCCAAGUCUCCUCCCGGGACUUGCAUGACUGACAGUAGUGACAUGAUGAAGAAAGUCCUGAACACUGCCAGAGAUGGAAGACCAUCACUGCUGCUCAAAACGUAAGUGGCACAACAUGCAGUAAGUAGGUCCACUUAGUGCCCACUACUACAGACCCUCAAUGCUCUGUCCUUUUCGUCCUCCCACUUUUGAAACCCCUCCGAGUUUCUCUUCUGUUGCCUGUCCAGCUGAAGGCAAGUCAGAAUUUGACUGAUAGACCUUCCUCCUCUGAUCACCAUCCACUCACAUCACUACCCUCCAAGAGGCAUAUUGUUCAGGCCAAAAUAUUCUUCACUCAUUUCAAAUGGAUGAUGUAUUCCAACUGUUUCAACACUUGCACAGGGAGACUGACUGGAUGGGAAUUUAAAUACAUUAUUAGCAAGUGUGUAAGGUGACACUUUUCUAGUGUACCCUGGAGGGCAAGUGGGGAGCCCAUCGAUAUCAAGCUCUUAGUGAUGGGGAGAGAAAUGCCUCCCACUGAGACCUGGAGAACCAAAUUGGGGCAGCAUUCCCCAAUGCAACCUAGUGUGGGUCAUAUCUCAGUCACCCUCGUGUGUGUGCACUGCUGUGGCAGGCUUAACACCUCCAGGCAGCAAUCGCCAUUCCUCAGUUUCCAACUUAAACCCAUGCCUCUCCAAUGGGGCGCAGGGCACUGAGGAAAGGCACAAGAGCUGUCCGGAGGCAAAAGCAUCUUUCCACUUACUCCGAUCACAAUAACAUAUAAACAAAACUGAGCUGUAUUUAGUUACGGUGAUAAUAAAGAGAUAAUCAGUUGGUGCUGGCUUGCGAGGUAAAGUAAGGUACUAUAUACCAACUUUUGUUUUGAAAAUAAGCUUGCUGCGGAGAAGCUGCACCUUUGCCCGCCCACCCAAACCCA